rnacentral:rRNA from 1 species
UCCGUAGGCGGGCGAUUAAGUCAGAGGUGAAAUCCCACAGCUCAACUGUGGAACUGCCUUUGAUACUGGUUGUCUUGAGUUACAGUGAAGUAGAUAGAAUAUGUAGUGUAGCGGUGAAAUGCAUAGAUAUUACAUAGAAUACCGAUUGCGAAGGCAGUCUACUAACUGUUAACUGACGCUAAGGGACGAAAGCGUGGGGAGCGAACA